rnacentral:rRNA from 1 species
UAGGGAAUAUUGGACAAUGGGGGGAACCCUGAUCCAGCCAUGCCGCGUGGAGGAAGACUGCCCUCUGGGUUGUAAACUCCUUUUAUAUGGGAGGAACCGUCCUCAUUGAUGAGUGACCUGACGGUACCAUAGGAAUAAGCACCGGCUAACUCCGUGCCAGCAGCCGCGGUAAUACGGAGGGUGCAAGCGUUAUCCGGAUUCACUGGGUUUAAAGGGUGCGUAGGCGGAUAUGUAAGUCAGUGGUGAAAUCAACGGGCUCAACCUGUUAACUGCCAUUGAUACUGUGUAUCUUGAAUAUGAGAGAGGUAGGCGGAAUGUUGCAUGUAGCGGUGAAAUGCUUAGAUAUGCUACGGAACACCGAUUGCGAAGGCAGCUUACUAUUUCGUAAUUGACGCUGAGGCACGAAAGCGUGGGUAGCGAACA